GCAUUGGUGGUUCAAUGAUAGAAUUCCUGCUUGCUAUAUAGGAGACUUGGGUUCAAUUCCCAGCCAAUACA
rnacentral:tRNA from 1 species